GUGAGUUUUUAAAAGAAAAUGCUGACACUAAACUUGAUCAACAAUGUUUGCACUGAACAGAUACGUUGGGAGUUCUGCACACGGAGAGCAGGUCGAAGUUGUCAAGCGUCGGAGUCCAUUCCUGAAACGGAAAGACAAGAUUGAUCGUCAAAGUACAAGACGGUGAACAAGCUAAAGUUCAAGCUAACGCUCAAGCUAACGCUAACGCUCAAGCUAACGCUCAAGCUAACGCUCAAGCUAACGCUCAAGUUCAAGAUCAAGUUCAAGUUCAAGAUCAAGUUCAAGAUCAAGUUCAAGAUCAAGUUCAAGGUCUUCAACACGAUCCUGUCACUAUGUACUUGUCGUCCGGAGAGACGUCGCAGCUCAGCACAGACGAGGACUCCUUGGACUGGGAGCCAGGCAGGAAACAAGGCCACGCAGCCAGGAGGGAGAGACGGAGAUAUGACGAUGGAUGGAUGGAGACAGAUGGAGGGGACGAGGCAGAGAAAGAGAGAGACAACUGCACGGCUCCAGGAUGCUGACUCAUUCAUCUGCUUCAGUGUGAAACAAGCUGCUCUUUAUCUCCUUUUUUCUCCUCUCUCUGUCUCCCUCUGGAGACAAGCAGCCUCAUUAACUGCAGGUUUAAGCAUCACUGGCAGCACAUUACUGAUGGCUGCACAACUUCCCUUCUUUUCUGGCACGUGUCUGCAGGACCAGACCUGGACACCUGGCUACAGAGGAUCUGAGGUGUAGGGGUGAAGAUGAAGGUCCUCAAAGACCUGUUCUCGUCUCCUACCUGGAAAAUGCUGGCUCCGUACGGUGUCCUCCACGCAUUCAGAAGAUUGUCUUUUCCUGUGCUCACAAACCAUUUGCCUAAAAACACACAGACACACAGGAGGUCAGAGAAGGAGGACCUGAGCUGAUGGGAUGGUUUGAGGAUAAAAUUAUUGUAUUGGGAUUUCUAAGUAAUGCUGUUUGUUGUUUUUUU